UAACCGUAAGAUGACGGCUACGCUGAAGCGCCUGCCAUGUGUUCGCAUUUUGAACGCCGAGCCGAAGAUGCCGCCCGGCUCCAAGUACUUCGUGCAGUCACCUGAGCAAUCGCCAUCAUCGUCGACUAAGGGUAGGACGGGACGGGGGAUAAUCUUUUUUCCGUGCUCUGCCCAAAAGAAACAGCUGUAUUUGCCCAAAUAAAGUUUGUUGAUUGAUUACAGUCUA